GGGGGGGAGGAAGAGCAGCCCGGCUCGCUGCGGGCGGAGAGGAGCCGCGCAGGCAGCGACCCCCUUUCCGCACUCCGGAGGGGGCAAACCCCGCGGGGGGCGGCUGGGCCACGGGUAAGCGACCCACACACACAGACAGCCGCGCGGGUCCGGGGCGCACGUGCGUGCAGGCUCCUCCGUGUUGCUCUCCUAAAGCAUUUCAAGCUCGACACACAGACGUCGUUUCUCCGCGAGCAGCCGUAGGGCAUUUGACCGAUGGUUUUGACAGUAGAGAUGAAUCGAGGACGCAGCACCCACAGUCCUGACCUGGAAUUUGAACUCUUCUUCGGUGCCUCUCCCUCCUCUCAGAGGGAGAGGGGGGCGGAAGAUCUCGAGAUCUUCUGCUUGCCAUCGAUCCGAGCUGAUUUGCUGAGCAUUGGCUUCCUAUCAUGUCUGCGUGCUCCCUGAUAGAUUAUUUCAAUCUGAAAAAACCCCCAAUUCAUGAUGAAGUGGCUGGCAAAAUGGGACCAGCUGGUUCAGCCCCGCUCAUGCUGAGUAGUAGGUUUAAUGCACUGAAACAACUUCCACUGGCAUGUGGGGCUGGUCGUAUGCUUUUGAUAAGAAAACUUUGGUGUGAUAAUUUAAUAUCUCAUGUUGUAAAACACAUCUCACAGCGUAGCUUUUCCCCAACCUCUCUGUGUUUUGACAAAGUAGGUUUGUGCUAUCAUCGCCUUUCCUUGCCUUGUUUUCAUCUUCUUCCUGUGUCUCAUUAAUACACAAGCGGUAUUAAAUAAUAAUGAUGCCA